UUGCAGGGAAGUCUGAUAAAUAAUGUAUUUGGAUAAGGUUUGCUUUUGAUUUAUAUUUCACAUUUAUAUGUAGGUAUUUGCAGACGAAUUGUGGAAUCUUAUCAUGUUUGUGAAAUAAAGUGAGAAAUUGAAUAUUGACUUUUAAAAGACACAGAAAUACAGAAUUGAUAUGUACAAAGAAGUUGCUAUAAAUUAAUGAUCUUAUAUGUGAUGAAAAUUAUCCAUAAAUUAUAUAUAACCAAUUAAAAAAAACCUCCCAAAGCUUCAAUUUGAAUUUACCGCCGGAAACAACAUUCUGAUUGGCUAACAUGGACGCCAAUGUCGCUGAUAAAUGCAGUCUGAAAUACAAGAUAUAAAAUUAGCCAUAGCUCAUUCAAUUCUCCUUCAAUAUGAAUGACACUUUGGAUAUAUGUAUUUACAGGCAUGAACUAUCAUCCUAGAGGUGUUUUUUGAUAAUACAUUGGUGUUUUCGAUACUUUUAUUGGUGUUUUCGGGAAUUACCUGGUGUUUACGGUGUUUCUGGUAAUUCCACGGACCCGGAGUUAUGGUCAUUAAACCGACUAAUAUGAAGCGUAAAUUUAUACGAGUUAUUUCCCAUGUUUUAUAUAUCGUAUUCAUGGUAUUGAUUUAUACAAUAUAAUGUGAUAAAUAGAUAAAAUAAAAUAUUUGUCCUGAUUCGAAUUUUAUAUUGCCAGUUGGAAUUUACUGGCUAUUUAUAGUUCACUUACUGAGUACCUGUCAGUAAAGGGAAGUAACUCAGAUUCACACGUCACAAUAAUCAGUUUUAUGGAAACAAUUCCUUCAAAUCGUUACCAAUCUUCAUGAAAUUUGAUGUGUGACUAGAUGGUAUAUAGAUGAACAUAUACUGAGGUAAUUUCUGUCCCUUUAAUGGUCAUUUCGGUAAUUUCUUUGGUAAUUUCGGUGAUUAGCGGUAAUUUUGGUGAUUCUAUGCACUCUAUUGCUAAUGGUCAGCAAAAAUUUGAAUGUCAACUGUUGUCGAGGUACAUGGGAGAUACAGAGCUCACUCAUGUAAACACUUGGCUCGUGCCAUGUGUUUGUUUUACAUAGGUUAAGUGAUGGGCAAUCGGGGAAAAAAUAAUAAUCGAUGAUCGGAUUAAUCGGAUGCACCUUUUUGAUUGAUUAAUCGAAAAAUAAUCGAAUUUUAUUCAUUUCAAAUUUAUGGCAUAAGUAUAUCAAAUUUACUUUAUUUUUUACCCUAAAUAUUAAGUUAAUUAGAACUAGUUCUAAUUGUAACGGGGACCGUUACAUAUGUUCCCCAAACCUCCCCCAAUUAAAAAGUGAUGUCAUUGUAAACCUAUAGCAAAAAUUCAUUUUUAUCUUAGUCUUUAAUUACACGUAGUGCGUUUAAUAUGGUCAUUUCAGUACCAAGAAAUGAAAGAAAGUAAUGCACGUGCAUAUACGCGCACACGUGUAUGAUUCUGCACUUUUGUUGAUGUCAUUCAACAGCAGGGCUCGCGCUGCCCAUGGCAUUUGUCGCAUUUUGCGAUUUUUCAGAAAAAAAUGCGACACGGACAUUUCGUAUUUUAGUAUUCGCGCGCCAUUUUGAAUUUCAGCUGUUUGCAUCCAAACAGCCUUAGGGCUGUUUUACCUUACCUGUGCAGAAUGUGGAUACCCUGUCGCAUGGGAACAAUAAGACUUAGGGGCGUCUUGUUUAUUUAGCAGUUUACACGAAACAAAGGGUUGAUCCUCUAUGUGCAGACUUCAUGAAGUCCCUUCUCCUCUACAUGAUGAGAUUCACCAAAGGACCACUUUGUCAUUCUGGAUUUCAAGAUGAAAACAGGAUUAUUCAGUGAAAAUGUGAUGUGAAACUAUGAUCAUGUGUUAUGUAUUACAGUAAUCAAUUUUCAGUAACUUUGUCAUCAGUGACUUUUUCUAGACUGCAAAUUUAAUGAGUAAUAUAUGUCAUUUACACUACUAAAAUGAUUAAUAAACAUUUAGAAACUCA